AUCCAGCUGAUGAGUUCCAAGCAGGACGACACACGCGUCCUGGAU
rfam:Schistosoma rodhaini strain Burundi genome assembly, scaffold: SROB_scaffold0000495